CGGCGGACGGGUGAGUAACGCGUGGGUAACCUACCCUGUACACACGGAUAACAAUACCGAAAGGUAUGCUAAUACGGGAUAAUAUAUUUGAGAGGCAUCUCUUGAAUAUCAAAGGUGAGCCAGUACAGGAUGGACCCGCGUCUGAUUAGCUAGUUGGUAAGGUAACGGCUUACCAAGGCGACGAUCAGUAGCCGACCUGAGAGGGUGAUCGGCCACAUUGGAACUGAGACACGGUCCAA
rnacentral:rRNA from 1 species